GCACAAGGGCCGACUGUAGCUGGGGAAAGACAGUUUACUCAUUUGCUCUCUCCUUUCACACAGUCAGCUGGCCCUCUUCUCAGGUGUAGAUCACCUAUUAUCAUUUCACCUGUUUUGAUUCUCUGAUGAGGAAAGUCCCAAGACUUAUCAGCUGGGAUAGGCCUCAUUUACAAGACAGCUCUGUUCAGUAUUUGGAAGAAAGAAAGCCUGACAGGUUUCUCCGGAAAAGUGACCAUCCAUGGAAUGAAUGAAAUGUUCCCUUUCUAUUCCAGUAAAUUUAUCUCUCACAUUUAGGUCCAUAAUCUAUCUGCAGCUAGCCUUUAUGUAAGGUGAAGGGAUUGCAGUGGCAAAGCUAGGCUAGGUCUUGGAGGCUGGUGUAAGGCGAAGCGGGUGAAGGCAGGAGGCUGAUGGAGAGACUGAGGGGAAUAAAAGCCGAAAUGGAUUCACGGUGCCUUGGAUGGAGGACGAGAGGGGAAUUGCAAGCUCCUUCAACUCGUUCUGUCCGGUGAGAAGUGAUCAAGCUUGGGCUGACAAGAGGCUCAGGGAGCCCUCACGUUCUUUCGCUUUUUUACCUGCCAAUCAAACUGCUACAAGACAACACCCUGAUCUGGCAUGGACAUCGCGGUUCCAAGCCUGUAGCCCCAAAUCGGAUAAUCUCUGCAGCUGAUAACAAGCAAAAGAGAAGCCAGGCAACAGCCAUAGUAAAGAAGAAAACAAUCAACUCUGAGGGUACAGACAGGCAUGCAGAAGUAACUAGACGUCCAACACAUGCCAAGGUCUUGCGGGCCCAGGAUUUCGAACAAAAGAAAACUCGGUAACGUGACUGUAAAUCAAGGGCAUUUGAGACCAUAGACGCGCGCACCACUGCAAGGGUUAAUUGGAGGAGAGGGAAGAGAGAGGCUCCACCUUGCAGUCUGUGUGAACUUCGGCCAGAAAAAGAGCUGGAGCUCCAGCCGCCGCCGGUGGGAGCCCUGCAGUCCGCGGCACGCGGUCCCUUGUUGUGGGGCAGGUGUGGCGCCGGGUAGAGGCGGGGCGCAACCUGGAAACUGCCGCCUGAGCUGUGGCCCGCGCCCUGCCUACCCUUUGGCGCAUCUGUUUCUUUAUUGCCUGAAAGCCAUCCGACGCGUUGAAGGCGCGAUUAUCGACAAUUUGUCAGCCCGAUUUUGUCGCUUGCAAUAACUUUUGGUGAAGUUUCACUCUCAGGCCCUUGAGUUUCGGGAUGAGGAAAUGUGGUAUGAGAGCAUUGUCCUGUGUUUGGCUUCUCAUUUCCACAGGACCCAGGCAGGCAGAAGAAGGGAAAAGAAAGUUAAUCCGACUGCAGUCACUCUGGCACACAAGCCAUGGGGAAACGGGAGAGAAACUUGUUCCUUCUCCUACAAAACUCUCCCCUUCCCCCUCAAGCCCCUCCCCCCACCAGGUCCUUUUUAAUAGAUCAGUCCCUCAUCUCCCCCCCCCUCCACACACGUAUUCUUGGGCCCACAAUUCUCUUGAGCAACCUAGGACUGAGUUUUUGUGUUUUGUUUGUUUUGCUUGCUUUUUCCUUUGUGUUUGUGGAUGUGGAUUGUUUCUCAGGGACCAGGGGCCAGGACCGCAGCUCUAAACCUGAACCGUUCACCUUCAUGAUCCCUUUCUUCCCCUCUUCUUGAUUGGUGGCUGUCGUGGCCAAGACCAUGCCCUUUCCUGAGCAUGGAGCAGUGGGGCAGCUGCUCUGAAGCAGCUGCUGUGCCUUACCCCUCUUUUCUCAAUCAUUAAAAUUCAAUUUCAAAAUUUCUGUCUUUAACAAUUUCCUAAGGAGACUAUGAAGAAUGCCAAAAGAGUGGGCCUUUUUUCAAGUGGUCAUGUUUCAGCAAAAGGCAGGCACAGUCCAAGUUGCCCUAGGUUGUGCCCUUAUAGGAGCAGGGCAGUGGAUGUUGUGUAAAAUGGAGUGCUGUGCCCACCUUGAACGAGAGACGAGCUCUGGCAGGUCAAGAACCUGGGGAGAGCAACUCCAGCUUUUCCAUCCACAUCACCCCUGCAGCUUGAUGGAGCACAGCACCAAGCAGGAAGUUCUCAUUUUUUUUUUUUUUUUAAUGUCCACACCCAUGACAUACAGAAGUUUCUGGCCCAGGGAUUGAAUCUAAGUUUCAGCUAUGACCUAUGUGGCAGCUAUAGCAAUGCCAGAUCCCUUAACCCGCUGCACCAAGCUGGGGAUCAAACCCUCACCUCUGCAGCAACCCAAGCUGCUGCAGUUAGAUUUUUAACCCACUGCACCACAGCUGGAACUCUGGGGAAGUUCUCUUUAAUAGUUCCUCACUUUCUUCCUUGAUCCAAAAAGAAAAAUAUUUGUAUUCGGAAAGUUCUCUUCUGCUAAGAAGUUUCUAUUAACAUCUCUUUCUCCUUUCAGUGAAGUCUGUUUCUGGGUCAAGGGGAGUGUUUUAAGAAACAGAAAAAUAGAGACACACACAUAACUGCAAUAGGUAGCUGAACUUCAUCAGGAGCCUUGAGUAGCCAAGAAAACAUUCUUCUGAUGCAACUUCAGAGUUUCAUCCCCUGCUCCAAAAUUUAUCAUGUAAUUAGUACCCAAAAUGCCUCCUUUAACCAACACCCAUUGCAACCUAUGGAAAAGAUGUAGCAUUUUUUUUUUGAAAUUCUAGAUGGACCUAAGGAUUACCUGACUCCUAUUGCCAUCACCUCUUAAUCACACAAAACUGUUUUCCUAAACACCAACCUUUUUCCCUAUAAAAACCACUGACCCCUCAGUAUACCUAGUACCUUUUUUCCUCCCUUUAAAUUAUUAUUCCUUACUCUUUUCCGUUCUGGGGCCCUGAGCCAGAUUCUCAGAAUUAAUCCUGAGUUCUCCCAAAUGCCAUGACAAGUUAGAAGGGAAAUUGGGGGACUGCACUGAAAAUACAUGGUAUAGAGAGUAAAUGUUACAGCUGUUGACAAGUGGCAGUUUGGGGUAUCAGCAAUGAAUUCCACAUUUUUCUAUAGGCUUCUUUUUACUUCACUUUAGGAUCCACUGAUCCUAAUAGAAACAAGUUAAAACUGCAGUUCCCUUCGUGGCGCAGUGGUUAACGAAUCCGACUAGUAACCAUGAGGUUGUGGGUUUGAUCCCUGGCCUUGCUCAGUGGGUUAAGGAUCCGGCGUUGCUGUGAGCUGUGGUGUAGGCCGGUGGCUGCAGCUCCGAUUAGACCCCUAGCUUGGGAAUCUCCAUAUGCCCCUGGAGCAGCCAUAGAAAAGGCAAAAAGACCAAAAAAAAAAAAAAAAAAAAAAAAAAAA
rnacentral:lncRNA from 1 species